AUGUCAAGGGCACUUUGUCCAGUGAUUUCUCUUAUAUUUUCUAACUUAAUCCUUUCAAAUCCCAUUGGGAAGACAGAUGCAGAUGAGGAAACUGAGGUUCAGAGAGGUACCCAGUUACAAAUGCAAAACCUUAACUCCUGUCUUCUCUCUGUUGAUCUAGUACUCUUCCACUUGACCCACUAUCAACAUGAAAUCCUGACACUGGCAGCUCCUGACUUUCUUAGUGCCCAGUGGGAUAAAGCUUUAUUAGGAAGAUUGGACCAACUACCAUAAAUACAUCACUUUGUUUUGCCUUCUCAUCCCUCCCACCUCCUGCCAUCUCCAUGUAAGGUGGAUGAAUUUGCCACCUCAAAGCUACAUACAAUGUAUCAGGCAAAAUAACCACAAUAUGGACUUGUACAUAACUUGAGAAGGAGUUCCUCUCCUGUCCCGUCUUCCUUUGGCUAAGGUCACUUAAAUCACAGCUGUGAUGGGUGAACAACUGUGAAUAUACUAAAAACUAUUGAAUUUUACACUUAAAUGGGUGCACUGUAUGGUAUGUGAAACACAUCUCAAUAAAACCAAUGCAGAGACUUUGUAAGAUGGUGGAAUAGAAGGACUGGAGCUCUACUUCUCUCCUAAAAACAACAAAAUUCACAACUAAAGGCUGAGCAGUCUCCACCCAAAUGGACCAGAAACCUUAAAAAAGAUAUCCUACUCCAGAAGAAAAAGAGGAGGCCAUAUCAAGAGGUAGGAGGGGUGAUUUUGUGAUAUAAACAAUCCCAUACCUCCUGGGUGGGAAGCUCCACAGACUGGAAACUAACUGGUUCACAGAGACUCACCUACAGGAAUGAGAGUUCUGAGCCCCACAUCAAACCCUCACCUGUGGGGAUCUGGCACUGGGAGAAAGAGCCCCCGGAGCAUCUGGUGUUGAAGGCCAAUGGGCCUUGUGCACAGGAGCUCCACAGGACUGGGGGAAACAGAGACCCCAUUCUUAAAAGGCACACACAGACUUUCACAUUCACUCGGUCCCGGGGCAAGGCAAAGUCUCCGUAGGAAUCUGGGUCAAACAUGACUGCAGUUCUUGGAGGACAUCCUGGGAAAACAGGGGAGAAUGUGUCUUGUUGUGAGGGAAGGACAUUGAAAGCAAAGCUCUCAGGAAUAUUCAGCAGCUGCCAUUCUCUGGAGGUGGCCAUUUUGGGAAAAUCUGGCCAUACCCAUCAGUCAGAGCUGAGAGGCCCCAGGGCAAACAACAAUCCAGGUGGGAUCACAGCCAUGCCCCUCAGGAAACAGGCUACCUAAAGACCCCUCAGGCACACAGCUGCCUCUAAUCCCAUCCAGAGACUAAGCCCCACCCACCAGAGGGAUUAGAAUCAGCUCCAUCUACCAGUGGGCAGGCAUCAGCCCCUCCCAGCAGGAAGCCUACAGCAAACCCCCAUACUGACUUCAGCCACAUGGGGGGCAGACACCAGAAGUAAGAGAGGCUACAACCUUAUUAUCUGUAAAAAGGUCAC
rnacentral:lncRNA from 1 species